rnacentral:rRNA from 1 species
UACGUAGGGUGCGAGCGUUGUCCGGAAUUAUUGGGCGUAAAGAGCUCGUAGGCGGUGUGUCACGUCGGCCGUGAAAACCUGCAGCUUAACUGUGGGCGUGCGGUCGAUACGGGCAUCACUAGAGGUAGGUAGGGGAGAUCGGAAUUCCUGGUGUAGCGGUGAAAUGCGCAGAUAUCAGGAGGAACACCGGUGGCGAAGGCGGAUCUCUGGGCCUUACCUGACGCUGAGGCGCGAAGCUAGGGAGCAACAGG